GAAUCUUUAUUCCUCCCAGUCUCCAGUAUGAAUACUUCCCCAGGCUUGGUACCUUAGGCUAUCAAGAGAGGUAUACUAUAGCACCUGAUAUCAUCUUGCAGUAGGAAGGGGGAAGUCCCGGAGAGACUUCUAUCUUCUAACACUUUAUCAGUUUGUCGUGAAGAUAAGAAUUUCCAGAAAACCCACAUUCAGAGGACUUCUACCAAUUGGCCAGAAUGCCAUGAGGGCACCACUAUCAACAAGAAAGGUGUCGAUCGGGCUCGGCUGAUAGGCUGAAAGGAGAUGAUUACCUCAGCACUGAGCUGCCCCAAGCUUAUCAGCAAGGGAGAGCAAAGGGUGGACAGACUGACGGACAGGCGGACGUAAAAAUAAUCACUAGGUACAGCAGUGUGUGCUUGCUGUUUCCAGAAACCAUCUAGAAUUGAGCAUCAAGCUUAGGACUCCGAAUUACAGAACACCCAUCACUGCACAGAUCUACAUCCGAAUAUACAGAACACCCAUCACUGCACAGAUUUCAUCUAAAAAGAUAAUCUGAAGAGAUGUGCUGCCUUGCCUACAGUCAUAAAACAGAAUACCACGGGGAAAUAAAAAUAAGAGUUUGCAUUAUAUCCUGACAUUUCUUAGAGGGCUUAAGUAAAGCCACACAGACCAAGAAGAACCUGGGUGAAGAAAGGAUCAGAAGACCCUAGAGGACACGGCAAACCCACCCAGGGGAAUGGCAUAGCUGUGCGUUGUCACUCCGUCUGAGCAUUUCUCAAAGUGUGGGAAGAGCCAUCCAGAGGAGGGGAAAAGCCACAUCAGUGAGAAGCAAGGAGGGUACAGAGUGAUGACUGACACCCAGGUCCUAAGAAAGCAGUUGUUCUCAACCUUCCCAGAGCUGUGACCCCUGAAUACAGUUCCUCAUGUUGUGCUGACCCCCCAGCCACAGAAUUAUUUUCGUUGCUACUUCAUUAACUGACAUUUUGCUACUCUCGAAAAUCAUAAUGCAAAUAUCUGUGUUGUCUUCGGCAACCCGUGACAGGGUCAUUCGACUCGCUAAGGGGUGGAGACCCACAGGUUGAGAACUGUUGUGCUAAAGCGGGUGGCUGGCUCCUCUCUGCUGAGUACUGCAAGCUCCCACUGAAACCUGUGAUUGGUGACUUGGGGUAGAGGUGGCCAGGGUCUGCUUAUCAAAGCUACCUGUUGCAAUACUAGAAGGAAAACUGAAACACAGACCUAGAAUCUAACCAUUCUCGCAAUAAAGAACCCAUGCACGUGUGCGUGCGUACACAG